rnacentral:tRNA from 1 species
GUCACUUUGGCCGAGUGGUUAAGGCGAUGCCCUGCUAUCUUCGGAAAGCUUGACAGGCAUUGUGUUCGCACGCGUAGGUUCGAAUCCUGCAGGUGACG